GUUGAACGCUGCGGCAUGCUUAACACAUGCAAGUCGAGCGAGCGGCGGACGUGUGAGUCAUGCUUAGGAAUCUGCCUAUUAGUGUGGAACCACAUCUCGAAAGGUAUGCUAAUACCGCAUACUAAUAGCUGCGCCUAAGUCGGAUUAGCUAGUUGGUGGGGUAAAGGCAUACCAAGGCGAAGAUCUGUAGCGGGUCUGAGAGUAUGAACCGGCCCACUGGGAAUGAGAAACGGCCCAGACUCCUACGGGAGGCAGCAGUGGGGAAUAUGGGAGAAUGGGGGGAACCCUGAUCCAGCAAUGCCGAGUGUUUGAAGAAGGCCUUAUGGUUGUAAAGCACUUUAAGCGAGGAGGCGUUACUCGCAGAAUAAGCACCGGCUAAAUCCGUGCCAGCAGCCGCGGUAAUUC
rnacentral:rRNA from 1 species